rnacentral:rRNA from 1 species
AUUGAACGCUGGCGGCAUGCUUUACACAUGCCAGUCGAACGGCAGCGCGGGCUUCGGCCUGGCGGCGAGUGGCGAACGGGUGAGUAAUACAUCGGAACGUGCCCAGUAGUGGGGGAUAGCUCGGCGAAAGCCGGAUUAAUACCGCAUACGACCUGAGGGUGAAAGCGGGGGAUCUUCGGACCUCGCGCUAUUGGAGCGGCCGAUGGCAGAUUAGCUAGUUGGUGGGGUAAAGGCCUACCAAGGCGACGAUCUGUAGCUGGUCUGAGGGGACGACCAGCCACACUGGGACUGAGACACGGCCCAGACUCCUACGGGAGGCAGCAGUGGGGAAUUUUGGACAAUGGGCGAAAGCCUGAUCCAGCAAUGCCGCGUGUGUGAUGAAGGCCUUCGGGUUGUAAAGCACUUUUGGCGGGAACGAAAAGGACUGUGCCAAUACCACGGUUCGAUGACGGUACCCGCAGAAUAAGCACCGGCUAACUACGUG